rnacentral:rRNA from 1 species
AGAAUCAACGCUGGCGGCGUGCCUAACACAUGCAAGUCGAACGAGAAAGUGGAGCAAUCCAUUAGUAAAGUGGCGCACGGGUGAGUAACACGUGACUAACCUACCCUUGAGUGGGGGAUAACCUAGAGAAAUCUGGGCUAAUACCGCAUAAUACCUUCGGGUCAAAGGAGCAAUUCGCUUAAGGAGGGGGUCGCGGCCGAUUAGUUAGUUGGCGGGGUAAUGGCCCACCAAGACUAUGAUCGGUAUCCGGCCUGAGAGGGCGCACGGACACACUGGAACUGAAACACGGUCCAGACUCCUACGGGAGGCAGCAGUGGGGAAUUUUGCGCAAUGGGGGAAACCCUGACGCAGCAACGCCGCGUGGAGGAUGAAGCCCCGUUGGGGCUAAACUCCUUUCGAUCGGACGAUAAUGACGGUACCGAGAGAAGAGCCCCGGCUAACUUCGCGCCAGCAGCCG